rnacentral:rRNA from 1 species
GAUGAACGCUGGCGGCGUGCUUAACACAUGCAAGUCGAACGGAAAGGCUCCUCCUUGCAGGGGUACUCGAGUGGCGAACGGUUGAGUAACACGUUGGUGAUCUGCCCUGCACUUCGGGAUAAGCCUGCGAAACUGUGUCUAAUACCGGAUAGGACCGCAUCUGGGAUGUUGUGGUGGAAAGUUUUUGGGUUUGGGAUGAGCUCGCGGCCUAUCAGCUUGUUGGUGGGGUACUGGCCUACCAAGACGUCUACGGGUAGCCGGCAUGAGAGGGUGUACGGCCACAUGGGGACUGAGAUCCGGCCCAGACUCCUACGGGAGGCAGAAGUGGGGAAUAUUGCACAAUGCGAGCAAGCAUAGUGAAGGAACGCCGCGUGGGGGAUGACGGACUUCGGAUUGUAGACGCCUUUCGCUGGAGACGAAGCGAAAGUGACGGUACCAUGAUGAGAAGCACCGGCUAACUACGUG